rnacentral:rRNA from 1 species
CAUGCAAGUCGAACGAGGAUAUAUCCUUCGGGAUAUAAGCCGAGUGGCGCAAGGGUGAGUAAUGCAUAGAUUACCUGCCUCUAGGAUAAGGACAACUUUGUGAAAACGAAGCUAAUACUUAAUAAUACAAAAGAAAAUAAUUUUCCUUUGUCAAAGGGAGGGUAGCAAUACCUUUUGCCUAGAGAGGGGUUUAUGUCCUAUCAGCUUGUUGGUGGGGUAAUGGCCUACCAAGGCGAAGACGGGUAGCCGGUCUUAGAGGAUGGUCGGCCACACUGGGACUGAGACACUGCCCAGACUUCUACGGAAGGCUGCAGUCGAGAAUCUUUCGCAAUGCCCGAAAGGGUGACGAAGCGACGCCGCGUGAGUGAGGAAGGCCUUAGGGUUGUAAAGCUCUGUCAGGAGUUAAGAAAUAUAAGUGUGUUAAUACCACAUUUAUUUGACGAAGGCUCCAAAGGAAGCCACGGCUAACUCUGUGCCAGCAGCCGCGGUAAUACAGAGGUGGCAAGCGUUGUUCGGAAUUAUUGGGCGUAAAGAGCACGUAGGUGGGUUUGUAAGUCAGAUGUGAAAGCCUUCUGUUCAACGGAAGAAUUGCAUCUGAAACUAUAAGUCUUGAGUGUAGGAGGGGAGAAUGGAACUUCUGGUGGAGCGGUGAAAUGCGUAGAUAUCAGAAGGAACGCCGGCGGCGAAAGCGAUUCUCUGGCCUAUUACUGACACUCAGUGUGCGAAAGCUAGGGGAGCAAACGGGAUUAGAUACCCCGGUAGUCCUAGCUGUAAACGAUGGGCACUAAGUAGAGGGGAUUACCGAUGUUCUCUCUGCCGUAGCUAACGCAUUAAGUGCCCCGCCUGGGGAGUACGGCCGCAAGGCUAAAACUCAAAAGAAUUGACGGGGGCUCGCACAAGCGGUGGAGCAUGUGGCUUAAUUCGAUGCAACGCGAAAAACCUUACCGGGGCUUGACAUGGUAGAAGUAGGAACCCGAAAGGGUAACGAACGGUAUCCAGUCCGUAGCUAUCACAGGUGUUGCAUGGCUGUCGUCAGCUCGUGUCGUGAGACGUUGGGUUAAGUCCCCUAACGAGCGAAACCCUUGUUUUUAGUUACCAGCGGGUUAUGCCGGGUACUCUAGAAAGACUGCCGUCGUCAAGACGGAGGAAGGUGGGGAUGACGUCAAGUCAUCAUGGCCCUUAUGCCCCGGGCUGCACACGUGCUACAAUGGUCGGUACAAACGGAAGCGAAGCCGAGAGGUGAAGCGAAUCCUAAAAAGCCGAUCUCAGUUCGGAUUGGAGGCUGAAAUUCGCCUCCAUGAAGUUGGAAUCGCUAGUAAUCGCGGAUCAGCAAUGCCGCGGUGAAUAUGUUCCCGAGCCUUGUACACACCGCCCGUCAAGCCACCCAAGCAGGAUGCACCCGAAAACAUUAUAUCUAACCAGGGCAACUUGGAGGAAAGUGUUGAAGGAGUGUUUUGUGAGGAGGACUAAGUCGUAACAAGGUAGUCGUAGGAGAACCUGCGGCUGGAUCACCUCCUUUCU